CCCUUAGAUGUUCUGGGCGGCCCGCGCACUACAAUGGCGUGUGCAGCGAGUGCCGAAGUAGAGUUUUCCGAGGUAUUCUUGCAAUGCUCGUUUUGAUGGGGAUAAACCCUUGCAACUGUUGGUUUUGAACGAGGAAUUCCUUGUAAGCAUGGUUUAUCAUCCGACGCUGAAUGCGUCCCUGCCCUUUGUACACACCGCCCGUCGCUCCUACCGAUGAGUCGUCCGGUGAAGUUCGUAGACCUCGUGAUCGCGGAUCACUGGGGGAAGCAAAAUGAACCUCGCGGUUUAGAGGAAGGAGAAGUCGUAACA
rnacentral:rRNA from 1 species